UGGGGAAUCUUGGACAAUGGGGGCAACCCUGAUCCAGCCAUGCCGCGUGGACGAUGAAGGCCUUAGGGUUGUAAAGUCCUUUCACCGGUGACGAUAAUGACGGUAGCCGGAGAAGAAGCCCCGCCUAACUCCGUGCCAGCAGCCGCGGUAAUACGGAGGGGGCUAGCGUUGUUCGGAAUUACUGGGCGUAAAGGGCGCGUAGGCGGGGUAUCAAGUUAGGGGUGAAAGCCCGGGGCUCAACCUCGGAACUGCCUUUAAAACUGAUACUCUAGAGUCCGGAAGAGGGUCGCGGAAUUCCCAGUGUAGAGGUGAAAUUCGUAGAUAUUGGGAAGAACACCGGUGGCGAAGGCGGCGACCUGGUCCGGUACUGACGCUGAGGCGCGAAAGCGUGGGGAGCAAACAGGAUUAGAUACCCCGGUAGUCC
rnacentral:rRNA from 1 species